GCUAACGAAGCAAAAUCUGGAAUCUGCGAAAGAUCUAAGCCCUUUUUAUAGAGGUUCAAAUCCUCUCGUUAACU
rnacentral:tRNA from 1 species